CUACGCCACCGUUGGGCCUCUCGUGGUCUACUUUGCUAUGCACCGUCUGAUCAUCAAACCCUACCUCAGGGCUCAGAAAGAGAAGGAGUUGGAGAAGCAAAGGGAAAGUGCCGCCUCCGACAUUCUGCAGAAGAAGCAGGAGGCAGAAGCCGCUGUCCGGUUGAUGC